rnacentral:misc_RNA from 1 species
GAAAUGCGAUAAGUAAUGUGAAUUGCAGAAUUCAGUGAAUCAUCGAAUCUUUGAACGCACCUUGCGCUCCUUGGUAUUCCUUGGAGCAUGCCUGUUUGAGUAUCAUGAAAUCUUCAAAGUAAAUCUUUUGUUAACUCAAUUGGUUUCUACUUUGGUAUUGGAGGUCUUUGCAGCUUCACACCUGCUCCUCUUUGUUCAUUAGCUGGAUCUCAGUGUUAUGCUUGGUUCCACUCGGCGUGAUAAGUUAUCUAUCGCUGAGGACACUGUAAAAGGUGGCCAAGGUAAAUGCAGAUGAACCGCUUCUAAUAGUCCAUUGACUUGGACAAUACUUUUAUGAUCUGAUCUCAAAUCAGGUAGGACUACCCGCUGAACUUAAGCAG